UACGUAGGGACCGAGCGUUGUCCGGAUUCAUUGGGCGUAAAGAGCUCGUAGGCGGCUGUUCAAGUCGAACGUGAAAACUCGGAGCUCAACUCCGAGCCUGCGUUCGAUACUGGAUGCUAGAGUCUGGUAGGGGGAUCUGGGAAUCCUGUGUAGCGGUGAAAUGCGCAGAUAUCAGGAGGAACACCGGUGGCGAAGGCGGCCCCUGGACCGGUACUGACGCUGAGGCGCGAAAGCGGUGGGUAGCAAACGGGGG
rnacentral:rRNA from 1 species